CUGUCUUUUUGAGAAGGCUCGUUGCUCUAACAGAGACUUGUACAUAACAGACUACAACGCAUGUUUUUAAAAACGACCUAUACACGUUAGUCUCAAGUAUCUAUUUAUCGAAAAUAGAUAAUUAGAAACGAUCCGAUGAGUUUAUGAAAUUUCUAUUUGCAUUUUAAUAAUAAAUUUGCUCGUGCAGUUCGUGAGUUUUAGAAAAUUAAUAUUACUAACAGUAUCAAUAAAACGACAAGUAUU